rnacentral:rRNA from 1 species
CGGGAAACCAGUAAAGUGGCGAACGGGUGAGUAACACGUAGGAAUCUACCCUUUAGUGAAGAAUACCCUCGAGAAAUCGAGGUUAAUGCUGCAUAAGUCCCUUCGGGGUGAAAGACGGCCUCUUGCUGUCGCUAAAGGAUGAGCCUGCGGACUAUUAGCUAGUUGGUGAGGUAAAGGCUUACCAAGGCUUAGAUGGUUAGCCGGCCUGAGAGGGUGUACGGCCACAUUGGGACUGAGAUACGGCCCAGACUCC